UACGUAGGGUGCAGGCGUUGUCCGGAAUUAUUGGGCGUAAAGAGCUCGUAGGCGGCCUGUCGCGUCGGCUGUGAAAACUCAGGGCUCAACCCUGAGCCUGCAGUCGAUACGGGCAGGCUAGAGUCCGGCAGGGGAGACUGGAAUUCCUGGUGUAGCGGUGAAAUGCGCAGAUAUCAGGAGGAACACCGGUGGCGAAGGCGGGUCUCUGGGCCGGAACUGACGCUGAGGAGCGAAAGCGUGGGGAGCGAACAGG
rnacentral:rRNA from 1 species